rfam:Mus musculus chromosome 7, GRC primary reference assembly.
UUAUCAGUCAGGCUGCUGGCUAUCCAUGUCUUGUCUAGUCCUGCAUAUAGCCAAAGCCAGACUGAAUG